UAAUCACUAAGCCUCACAAGUUCCACUGCAUUAGAGCUCAAGUUUCAGGUUCAACAAAAAUUGAGGGGAUUCCUGAGAAAACAGAUUCCAAGGAUGAUAACUUAGUAUUUGUUGCUGGUGCUACUGGUAGAGUUGGUUCAAGAACUGUUAGAGAGCUUAUAAAACAUGGAUUUAAAGUAAGAACUGGAGUGAGGAGUGCUGAGAGAGCUGGUCCACUAAUCAAGAGUGUUGAGCAAAUGAAGCUUGAUGAUGGAACAAGUAGAGGGAAGAGUACUGGUUACUUCAUUGGGAAUAAAUAAAUUUGGUUUACCUGCAGCUAUUCUCAAGUGAGCAUUAAUGAAAUUCUUUCUGAUAUUAUCAUAUUUUAACAAGAAGUUCAAACUCAUAACCUAACACUAUCAACAGAAGACACUUUAUUUGGGGGUCAAGUAUCAAACCUUCAGGUGGCAGAACUUAUGGCAGUCAUGGCCAAGAACCCUGAUCUUGCAUAUUGUAAAAUAGUGGAGGUAGUAGCAGAGACAACUGCGCCGCUGACUCCCAGGGAGGAGCUUCUUGCAAAGAUAUCAUCUCAAAGACCUUACAUUUCUUCACCAAAGAAACCGGAUGCUACAGCCAUCAGUGAUCCGGCUCCCUCGGAACUUGCCAUUGCCACAGCCACUGAGAAGGAAACUGCACAACCAAAACCGGUUGCGAAAGAGUCACUUUCGCCCUUUUCCAAUUGCAUUAAGAGAUAUAAAGCAACACCACAUUACUCUAGUUGACUGGCUUGUAGAGAUUUGCAUAAUGUAAUUUUUCUCAUAUAAUACAAUGUUAUGAAUUAUAUAGCUGAUAAAUUUAGUA